rnacentral:lncRNA from 1 species
CCAAAUUCUUUACUAUUCUCUCUCUCCCACUCAGUCACCCGCUCUCCCUCUCACUCUCACCCAGAAGCUCUCUGCCCCUCUCGCCCACGAAGCUCGCUGCACGCCACCCGCGAAGCUCUUGUCACGCCACUCCCAUCACUGACCAGUUGUCUCACGUCGACGAUCAGCCAUCACGCUGUUCACUAUUGGUGUUCAAUUUUUUGGUACUUUUUAUUGUUGGUGUUUGGAUUUUUUGUUGUAUUUAUAUGCUGAAAUUACUAAAAAUAAGUUUUUUGAAAUGUAGAUUUUUUCUGAAUUAUAUAGGUUAAUACAAUAUUUUUUUUCAUGAUAUAGAAAUGACUGAUUUAGAAAAAAAAAAUGUGAAGUUGAUGAUUUGGAAGAAUUAGAUGACAACAAUUUAGAUGGAAACAAUAAAGAAAGUGAUAAUUAAGUCCACCUUCUCAAAGAAAACAAUCAAAGGUUGAGAAGAAAUAUAAAAAGAAAAUUAAGGUAAGAUUAAAAUACUUAGUUAAUUAUUCUACAGUCAAUUUAAUUUUAAUUUCUCUUUUAAUGGACUUGCAGAACUUAAACGUAGAAACACCGUUAUCUUGUGAGAUCGAUACUAUAGUCUCAAUACAGGAGAGCAACAAGGAUUCAGUAAGUUUUGUGUUCUUUGAUGUAAUACUAUUUAAUUCUUUUUAUUUUUAAUGGUCACUAAAUAUGCCAUUGUUGUAUUUUUAAUGGUCACUAAAAAGUUGCCAGUACAUUCUUUAUUUAGGCACCUGUGUUCGCAUGCCAAUACAAGAAUGUGAUAUUUAUCCAUCGUUUCCUUUUGAUUCUUACACUGUAACUUAUAAUCCAAUUUAUAUAUUUUAUGUCUAAUUAAUUUUUCAUUUUUUGGGAUUUAAUAUGGUUCUUAUUUUGUGCUAACUAGCAAUCUCUAUCACUCUCAUCGCGUUCAUCCUUGUUGCCUUAUUCUUCGUCUUGGAUACCAUGUGGAGGAUCUCAACAAGGGAGUUUUCAACAUUUACUACUUCAACAAAAUGACAAUGACAAAGAAGUUUGAAGCGGACAUAACGAAUUAAUCAUUGACUUAGUCUUUUGUUGUAUAAUUUUAGUUGUGGUUUGUGUAUUAGUUGGUUGGAUGAUAUUAUUCUAAUGCUCAAUGAUCGAUGGAGUCAUGUCAUCUUACCUUAUUCUUAAUUGAUUGUGGAAACAUUUUGAACGUUUUUUGUCUAUAUAUUCACAGGUUGAGUAUGUCAAUAUUUUAGGACAG